AACGAACGCUGGCGGCAGGCCUAACACAUGCAAGUCGAGCGAGGACUUCGGUCCUAGCGGCGGACGGGUGAGUAACGCGUGGGAACGUGCCCUUUGGUUCGGAAUAGCCCCGGGAAACUGGGAGUAAUACCGGAUAAGCCCUACGGGGGAAAGAUUUAUCGCCAAAGGAUCGGCCCGCGUUGGAUUAGGUAGUUGGUGGGGUAAUGGCCUACCAAGCCGACGAUCCAUAGCUGGUUUGAGAGGAUGAUCAGCCACACUGGGACUGAGACACGGCCCAGACUCCUACGGGAGGCAGCAGUGGGGAAUCUUAGACAAUGGGGGAAACCCUGAUCUAGCCAUGCCGCGUGAGCGAUGAAGGCCUUAGGGUUGUAAAGCUCUUUCAGUGGGGAAGAUAAUGACUGUACCCACAGAAGAAGCCCCGGCUAACUCCGUGCCAGCCGCCGCCGUAACAC
rnacentral:rRNA from 1 species